GCAUAUUCUGUAAAUCGUUAUAAUGAUUUGAAUUAGUUAGUUUUUUAUUUUUUUAUAAACAUUAUUUUUGCCUUAUUUAAGUUAUUUGGUUAUUUUCAAAUCUUCAAAUUUGAAUUGAUUUGAAAAAGAUUAGAAACUAUCCCUUUUUUAUUUUCCUCAACUACUCAUGUUUUGGUAAAUCAAAACUCACUUUUUUUUUUAAACAAUAAUUAAUGAGGGUCACAUUAUUUGGGACUCAAAUGAUAAGGUCCCUAACAUUACACUUUUCCAAAAUUCAACACAUAUUACUGUCUUCUUUCUCAAUCAAAACUAAGAAAUUUAGUAUUUUCUUGCACUCGAUGGUGACGGCGGCAGAGGGGGAUGCACGAACAACUCUAUAGGUUGUGACAGACUGACAGUGGCAGUAGAGAUGGAGCAACCGAACCGAGCAAAGCUGCGUGCCAAGGCUAGCGAGUCAGCAACCGAGACGAGAUGAUGCCAACGGAGGGUGGUGGCUGCUGCUGGCUUCGAGUGUUGGAGGCGCGGCAGCCGCAGCGUUGUUGCUUAUGCUUUCCAAGGGAUUUGGCGAUUAGGGAUUUCAAGGCAGCCGGUGGCGGUGGCACCGUGGCAGCGCGGCUGCUUAUGCUUUUCAGAAGGGAAUGCAAUCUGUAGGUUGGCAAUUUAAGGGUCUGGGCCGGGCUUUGCCAAGCCCAGGAUCAGGCCUAUAUAAUUUUAAAUAAGUUUAGGUCCUCUCAAAGUCCAUUCAAGUUGAGCGGACUUUGGACGGGCCGGGCCUUGACGGGUUUGGGUCGGGCCGCGGGCCAAGCCCGGGCUUUUACGAGAUUUUAAAUUUUUUUAAAAAAAUAAAAUUAUAAAUUUUCAAAACAUAAUUAACCAAUACAUAAUACUAUAAUAGGUUAAAAACUUAAAUAUAAUUCUCUAAUACAUGAUUAGCAACACAAAAUAUAAAAAUACUAACAAUACAAAUACCGUACACAACGUACAAAUCAACCACUAAUAUAAAAAAAAAAACUAAUAGAAAUUUACCGAUUUAAGAAUUUUGACAUUUUGUGACAAAACCUUUGCCCUUUCCCUUUGCCCGAUUUUUUUAUUAUUUUGUUUAAUUAUUUUUUCAAUUUUAUAAUAUAUUAUACAUUUUUUAAUAUAUAUAUAUAUAUAUAUAUAUAUAUAUUAUACAUAUAUAUAUAUAUUUUAUAAUACAUAUAUUUAUUUUGUAAAGCAAUUAUUUUUUUUUUCCAAUUUUAUAAUAUAUUAUACAUUUUUUAAUAUAUAUAUAUAUAUAUAAAGCCAUUAUCCAUAAUAUUAUAUAUAUAUAUAUAUAUAUAUAUAUAUUAUUUAUUAUAAAGCCCAGGCUUAAGCCCGGGCUUUUCAUUUAGGCCCUUGACUGAGCCCAUAUGUUAUGAGCUUUAUUAACUUUGAGCCCUUACCCAUAAUUUCAAGCCACGGGCAGGGCUUCAAGCCCGCGGGCCUGGGCCGGGCCGAUGUGGGCCUAGGCUGGCCCGGGCUUUUCUGCCAACCCUAGCAAUCUGCUACUUAUGCUUACUGUAUUAGGGAUUUGGAUUUGGGCGAUUUGGGCAAUUGGGUUUUGAUUUUUGUAUUUAAAUUUUUUUUUUAAUAUACCGGGUCCGGAUUCUGGGUUUUUGGGGCUGAGACCGGAACCGGGAUUGGAAAUGUCCGGGUUUGAGAAUUUCGCACCGUAUAUUUUUCUUAUAAAACUCCAUUUCGGAUAAAUUUACAUUUAAAGACAAAAUAACAAUAACACACAUUUAAUUUUUUUUGAACAAAUUACUUACAUUCAUUAUUAAAUUUUUUUUUUUUACCUCUCACUUCAAUUUAUCAAACUAAAAUAAGUUGUAGAAAUUUCAAAUAAUAUACAUAUUUUUUUAUUUUUAAUUAAUUAAAUAUUUUUAUACUUAAAAUUUUUUAAAAUUAUAAUUUAAAAUAAGUGCACUUUAAGUUAAUGGUUGACAUUCAAAAAUUCAUCAUUUAUAAAAUUUCAAAAUUUAUGUGUAGGGCGAUGACAAGAUUAUUAAAGAAAAGAAAAUAACAAAAUCGUACUUUGAAUUUUAAUAAUUAAAAAAAUAAAAACUAGAUGAAAUAUUUUAAAAUAAAAAAGAUAUUUUUUUAAAAUAAAAUAAAAAUAAUUGAAAAGGAGUUUUAUGAGGAGAAUCGAGGGUUGCCGAUAAUCAUCGCCCACAAGGAUUUCCUAUUGAGUAUAGGAAUCCCUUUGUCGCAAUGAAACUAGGAAUAUAUAAAUCAAGUGAGUUUGUGAGACCUUCUUCUCUUAAUUCUUUCAUAAGCAGUUCUCUAAUUUCUCUCUGCGAUUUUUAUUCAUUCAGUACCCUCAAUCGUUCAUCUGAUCUCACCCAAUUCUCUUUCUCAUCGAUCUCUUUUGAUUUUAAUAUUAAUCUAAGAAAUCAGAGCAUUAAGCAUCGAUCCCUUUUGAGUCUAAUUGUCAUGGGUUUAUCAAAAAACAUUGAUUUUGAAAUUACUCUAAGAAAUCAGAGCAUUAAGCGUCGAUCCCUUUUGCGUUCAAUGGUCAUGGGUUUGCCAAGAAACAGGAGGAGCAGGGAAUAUGCUGAAUCCAUGAAAUCCAAGUUGCCAUCGGAUAUAAAAAAGAAGAGAAAAUUUGAAGAAGAGGAGCAUGCGGCUUUUACUUGUUCCAAGAAACCUCCUGCUACAGUUUCUAAAAAUGAAGAGUUCAAGUGUUCUGAUGUCGAUGCUACACGUAACCAAUUUCGUGAGCGUCUUGUAGAGGGAUUGUCUAAAGUUUAUGAAGAGAAUAAUGAAGAGAUGAUGAAGGAGCAAUUAGGAGCUUGUGACCUAGUUGGAGUUGCUGCAUCAGUAGAAUCAGCGCUGUUCAAAACGUUGGGUCCUAUCACUGGGUCAAACAGACCCCAGUAUAGAACCAUCUUGUUCAGUGUUAGGGAUUCAACAAAUCCUGACUUUAGAAGAAAGAUUCUUCUUGGAGAAGUGAAGCCUGAGAGCAUUCCUACCAUGACGGAUGAAGAGAUGUCUAGCCAUAAAGUACAACAGGAGAUUCGCGAGAUUAGGGAGAGAGUUUUAGCCAAGAUUCCGGACUCAGUUGAUGAUGAUGAUGAUCCCUAUGAGAGAUUAAAAGCUGAUGAUCGUUGGCUCUUUUAUAGGUCUUAUAUAGGUUAAUUAAUAUGAUGCUUUUAAUUAAGCUACUACUUUGAGUUAUUGGGUUUUCAUUUUCAUUUUGUUCAAUUGUACUUUGACUUUGAGUUAUUUGGUUUUCAUAUUCAUUUUGUUCAAUUGGACUUUGAAAUGGUAUUUUAAUUCUCUGAUCACUUCCUUUAUCACAUGACAACAAAUAUGUUUAAUCCCUCUUCAUUCUUUCAUCAUAUACAUAGCAACGUCGCAACUUCCAUCUAUAUAUUUGACAUCAUUAAACGGGUAACAACGCAAUUGUGUAGGAACCUAUAUUUGUCUUUGUAUAAUUGAAACAGGCGCAAAAUUAUCAUUUAGGGAAAAAAGAAAAAAACAUAACAGACAAUAACUAUCAAAGUCAUUUCAGCAUUCACAGUUCACAUAGGAUUUUAUCCUUCGUUAUGGGAUGAUGUAGGCCUGUAUGUUGGACUUGAUCGAGAAUAUGAGGGAGAUGGUGGUGAAUACGAAGUUGAUGUCGGACUGCACACAAAGAAAAAGAUAAUUUCGGAUUACAUAACCAUAAUUCAUCGGACAAAAAAAAUUUAACCACCUGUCCAAUACCAACCUACAGGAACAAGAAAGCUAGCAUAGCCACAAAGAUAUUUCAUGUGAGUAGAAUUCUAUCAAAAGCAAGGCCUAAUAAACCAGAUAUGACCCUAAACACAAAUAUUAGACUUGACCUAUAGAUUUGCAUUAUGGCUUACCUGUACGUUGGACUUAUGGACUGGCAGGUGACAUUCUUGCACUACUUGGUGAGUAGGCCAGCGAUCGUCUGUAUGUGGCUGACUGAGGAUUAUAACUUUGGGAUGUAGGGCUGUAGGCUGGUGCAGUUCUUGGUGAAGUUCGGCUGUAACGAGGAGAAGUGGGGCUAUAGGCUGGCAAAGUGGGGCUGAAUGAUGGCGAUAUAGGGCUGUAGGAUGGUGAGGUAGGCCCGUACAAAGGCGAUGUGCUGCUGUACAAAGGAGAGGUUGGACUUGUGCUGUACAAAGGAGAGGUUGGACUGUAAGAUGGUGUAGCAGGAUUGUAUAUGCAGGUGGGGUGCUGUAACUUGGAGAGUUUGGGUUGUAGUUCGGGGAGGUAUGGCCGUAGCCUAGGGAAGAAGGCGAUUAAGAUGGACUUGUAGGAGAAUAGGCAGGACUGGUUGGACUACAACGAAGAAUUGGUGAGUUAGAGCUAUAACCAGGGGAGGUGGGACUGUAUCCAGGUGACGUGGGAUUUUGUCCAGGAGAUGAUGGAUUGUAGCCUGGUGAUGAUGGGCUGUAUCCUCAAGGUGUAGUAGGAGAGAAGGCCAAUGCACCAACAUAAGGAGAAAAGGAAAACCGGGCAUCUGUGUUGGAGGAUUGACAGAGAUUUGGGCUUACUAAGCAACUUGGAGACAUCAUGCCCUCGUGAUAAGGAGUACCAGAGAGUGGAGAUCGAGUGGGUGUCAUCCCUAAAUCCAGAACUUCCAUAUAACUUGGAAGCUGAAGUUCGAUGGUAUUCUUCGGCAUCUCAUCAUUGACAUACAAAGGACAGUAUCCAGUUCCAAUAGGUGCGAGCUGACCUAACACAAUGUUCUCAGUGACCCCCGCAAAUAAUCUGUUUCAGCAUAAGCUGCAGCAUCAAGAAGAAUGUCAACAGUUUCUUCAAAUGAACAUCUCAUCAAGGGUCCAGUAUCAAUCCUGCUGAUGCCAUGACGAGUGAUGGCCAUCAAGUGGCCUAGAUAGGUCAUGGUAUCACAAAGGAUAGCCAGAUGUCGAUAAUUCACAUAAGAGCCAUCAAAAGAUAUGACUGCUCGCAAUUCAUGCAGCAGCACCCUACGAACUGCCUCAAUCUCUAGCACUUCAAUAAUUUCAACCAAGUGAUUGCUUGUUGUCCUUCUCGCAUCAACUUCUUCAUGACACAUAACAGCUAAAAGAUUCACACCUUCAGCGUCCAGCAUAAAUUCCUUUUCCGACUUAAAUCGUUCAUUAUCAUCGUACUUGGUUGAUUUAACCUUUUUAAUGAACACCUUGUUGAUAUGGGGGAUACCUUGGAGAGCCAUUUCCAGCAGCAUGUUAUUCUCAAUCUUUUCCAAGAAAACAUCAUCUUCAGCUGAUUCAUCAUUCAGUCCUCCUAUUGGAGCAUCAUUAUUCAUGAUACGAGUACAAAGGACGAGCCUAUCGUCAGUGCGGCCAUUGCAUAUACAAGUCAAAUAAUCUCCAAACUCCUGCUUUAUCUUCUCAGAAACAGCAGCCAUGCUUAAUUUCUUAUCAGCCAACAUUUCCCAGUUCAACUCUAUGCGCAGCAACCAUGGAGAUAUUUUUUCAGGUGAAAUUUCCUCAUCUGGCAUCUCAUAGUAUGACUUCAUAAAUUCAGCAUCCUCUUCAAUAAUUGUGCCUGUAGGGUCUGGGUCAUACCAUACUUCUGUAGCUUAGAAGUAGCUGCAGUAACACUACGGAGAGUAGUGUACUCUAGAGCAUUGAACAUUCUUGGCGGUCUCCUUUGUUGAGCUAAAUACAGGUUUCAGGUAAAUGGAGAGUCAAGGUGUUUUGAUUUUCUUAGCCACAUUAAUAAUUUCCUUUGUUAAGCUUUGUUUGGUGUCUGAAUAUAAAAAAUUUAGUAGUACAAGCUUAAGGAACGAAAGCAGAAAAGUAGAAGAAGGAAUUCUAGUUUGGCACCUGAUUCACUUUUUUCUCAAAUGUCUCCAUCAUAGUUCGUCCAGGCUCAGGCUUCAAGCAUUUUUCCUGGGCUUUCCGAAUAUAUACUUUCACCACAUGCUUUGCAGUAGAAAUAGUGUGGUCGAUUUUCCAAAUGUAAGUGUCGCGGCUGAGAGAUUCACACGCUUCCCCAUCAAGUUACCCCGAUCCGUCCUUCCUUUGAUUUAACCUGCAACAUAUUGAUUUAAUAGGUCCACCUGAUCGCUGUCUAGCCUGAUCAACAAAGAAGAUACCCCAGCAAUAAGUGGAGAAUUAACAAUAUGUAAUUAUGUAUAUGCAUACAACUUAUGCAUGUGCAGGUAAGCAAUCCUACUCUAGGCUGCCCAGGCAAUUCAUUGUCAAAAUAUGCGGCUAUGUGAAACUGUAAUACUUGUGCAAACUCGGAUAUGAGAUGUGCAGGUACCCCUUUCUUCACUUGGCUCCUCAAAUUCUCAUUGGGCCCGAUGAUCAUCGCCAACUGAUGAGUCAAAUCACCCCAUAGUCGACAACAAAAAGCGAUCAGAACUCAUACACACACUUGUGAUGAGCUGUAUUCACCUGAAAAAUACUCAAUAUUUUGUUAUGCCAUCAUAAAAUAGGCAAAAAGUUUCUAUAGCUAGUUUUAAAUGAUUAAGAUGAAAAUCCAGCAUAAAUGGGAAAAGAAUUAUAAAGCAGGAGCUUACUUCACUCCUGAAGGAGGUACCUAUUGCCACUGAGGUCCUCACAGAAGGCGGAGGAAUUGGAAGGACCUGCAGAAUCAUCCAAUCCGGAUGGGUAUACUGAGGAUUCAAUCCCAGGAGUUGGCAGUCCUCAUCAGUUAUUCUUGCCAGAACUUCAAGUACCUGAAAUAUGGUUAACAAAGUUAGCAUCAUGAAACAAGCAGGUGAAAAUGAAACCACGAAUGUGUUGCCUUCAGAAUAAGUUACCCUUUCUGCAGUAAGUGUCUGCUUUCUUUCAACAGGUUCAGGAAGUUGUCCCUGAUCAUCAUUAUUUUUUCUUUGAGCCUUGUACUCUGCAAUCAUAUUCAUGCCGUCAAUUGUCAACGUUGGUUGCAGAGCACCACAGCCACUCUUUCUCUUUCUAAGAGGUUCUUCACCAUCAUGACCAAGGAGACUGAGGACAUCAAUCUCAUCAUCGCCUUCACAUUUGUUUUUGGUUUUACAUGCACACAAAAUCUGUUCAAGCCUGCUCUUGGGGUUCCUUAUUUUCAAAGCUAGCUUAAACUUGUCAUCUUCCUGCUUGAAAAAUAAGCAAUCACGCAUGAAGCAGACAAUAAUCUACUAGAAAUUUUAAGGAUGGACGAACAAUCAAACUAUAAAAGAAACAACUUCAUCUCAUCUACCCUAUUGGAAACCACAUAGAACAAGAAAGGGAGGAUAAAAAAAAAAAACAGUUCAGAUAACCAAGUAUCAUGGAAAGCCUACUUCAAAAUGCAUAUAAAAAACCUACAAGGCAUCUAUCAUGAAAGCAGAAUUCGUAUCCAAAUCCUAUUUCUCAAUGGGAAAAUGGAGAUAAACAAAAUUGACUACAUCUAUACUUUAUAAAAUACAUGACAUUAACAAUACAUGCACGAAUAACCAAUGAUUCCCUGAUGCUAGUAAAGAAUACAAUUUACAACUUAUAGCCGUAUCAGGUUAGUACUCUUUCAAAAUUUCUUUUCAUUUUUUUUUCCUCCUUCAUCAGCAACCAACCAGACUACCAAUAAAUUACAAGAGAGAAACGCUAAGGCCAAAGGAAAAUUACAAUUUCGUCAGGGCUGAGAAUGCUGAACUGGACCAACCGGACCUUGGCGACCUCGCCUGGAGAGUACGUAAAGCUAUUUUCCAUGGCGAGCUCUCCAAGCUUUGAGUAGCAGCAGAGUGGCAAGCUUGAAGUGUCAGCUAGAAAUGCAGGGCAAAACAGCGUAAUAAGACCAAAUUACCCUUUAGAGUUGCUCGGCUGUCAAGACUGAACACUAACCGGCCCAACUACCACAAUAACAACAGUAACUGACUAUUGUGCGUGUAUAUGUGGCAACGGCUGAGUUGCAAUAUCCGUAACUUACAGCCAGCCAAUAUGAAUCGUUAGAUUUGAGGGUCUGAAAUCGAAUGGACGGGAAAUAACAUACGAAACUUAUAAAUGGGUCAAAGAAUUUUUCAGCAAUUAGUGGGCAUACCGGGAACAAUGGUUUGAAAUAUAAAAGCGAGUGAUCGGUUCUGAGUAAUAUGAUUGAAGGGCAAAAAAAUAAUUAAUUAAUUAAAAUAAUUGUGAAUCAAUCACUCACAAAAAGGGGUGGGAAAAAAUCGAUGGGUUCCGUUUGCUCUCAAAUCGGAUUGAACCAGAUGGUGGUCCUUUUUGUAAGAGAGAAAAUAUAUUUAUGUGAUUUUUUUAUCUGAAAUUUAAAUAUAAUUGAAUUAAUUUGAAUUAUAAAUAAAUUUGAAUGUCUGAUUUUAAAUUAUAUAUUUAUUUUUUUAUUUGAAUCUCUUUUAAUAAAUAUUAGGUUGUUUAUUAUUUAUAUCUUUAAAAAAAUAAAAAUCGAUAUUUUUUACAUUGCACCCUUUCUAAGUUUACAUGUUAAAAUCUAUAAGGAUGGGCAAUAUAAAUUGGAGAAUAAUAGAACACUUUCUAACCCUAAAGGUCUAGACCCAAAGUCAUGCGACUCAUAUCUUAAAGUAUGAAUUAAAAUCUAAUUCAGUAAAAAAAAAAAUUCUAUAAAUACAGACUAUAUACAUAGCUACAUAAAAAGCUUAAGAAUAAUAAUUAUGAUGAUAUGCAUGGAAAAUUCACGAACUUAAUGAAUGAAAUAACUCAACAAAAUGGAAAGGAAUGUGAGUAGGAAAAGAAAGAUGAGUUUUUAUUAAUUGGACAUACUUAUGUAGAUUCCGGGAAUAGAUAUGAAAAAUAAAAAUAAAGCAUGAAAAUUUUUUACAUUAAAAUUUAGUUGGCUUAUUCAGCAAAAAAAAAAAAAAGGUAAAAGAACGACCUUAGACACUAUUUCGUAAAGUUAAUAACAAUAAUAUGAUUUUUAAAUAAAAUGAAAUACAAGGACUUUGAAUUUUAAUGUAAAAAAUGGUUAUUUCCGUGUAAGCUCUCCCCUCACGCCCAACCCCCAAGCAAGCGCAAGAGCAGAAAGUUGAAAGAACUAUCCCCUAUCCAGGAAAACGGUGCGAAAUUGUUGCCUGUUAUAUUCUCAGUCAAAAAAGAAGGGGGGGGAACAAAAUGGCUCGGUUAAGAACACAACGUGCUUACCACAACCAGAAAUCUAACAAAUGUUUCCGAGAGUUUUUGUUUGCUUUUCCAUUAAUACCUUAUAAAAUGGACUCUAAAACAAAAUGAAUGAGAGAAUUGAGAGCUGCAAAAAAGUCAUGGGAAAUACACUGCAGACACCAAAAGAAAACCUAGCGAAAGAAGAAGAAGAAGAAGAAAGCAGUGGAAGCAGCUUCACUUGUGAGAUUUGCAUAGAGCCAAUGGCAGCAAGCAAGAAAUUCAAGAACAAGAAUCUUUGCACACACCCUUUCAGUCAAGAUUGCAUAGCCAAAUACAUACAAGUGAAGGUCCAAGACGACAACACAGCCAAAAUCGAAUGCCCUGGAUUAGAGUGUAGGCAUGACUUAGACCCAUUUUCUUGCGAACCCAUCGUCCCAGCGAGUCUUUUUUCAAAAUGGUGUGAUGUUCUUUGCGAAGAUUAUGUUCUGGGAUUCGAGAGAAGCUACUGUCCCAACACAAACUGAAUAGAUUGUGCAAGUAUAUGUAUUAUAAGUGGGACCAAAACCUUGUAAAUAGCGGCCAGCACUCGUUAGGAUGGUUGGGCUGUAAAUUACUGAAUCUGUAACCUAACAUGCUCCUGGAUUUCUGUCAAUAAAUCAACGUCAACAAAUCUAACCAAUGAUAUUGGCGGACUGUAAAUUAUCCUUCUUUACCAGAGAUGUAUUAUUGACUCAUUUGAAAAUAUUGCAAACGAUUACUCGAUAUAUAUUAUUUCCGGAAGAAUCUGUAGUCCUUCAACAAAUUUUACGUAGGAUUUGAGAAUUUUUUUUUUUUUUUACUCACUUUUUUAUCGCCGGUGAGGAUAUAUUUUAUUUUAGAUGGAGAUGUCAACAUUAAUUAUUAAUUAAUGAUAGUAAUUUGAUUAUUUUUGAGAAAAUUUUAUGAUGUCGUAAUUAAAAUUAUAAUCUCAAUACUGUAGUUACCGUGUACCAUUAAACUAUAUCAGUCAACAAUAAUUAUAAUAUAAUAAAAUGAUUGAUUAAAUUAUAUUUAACCGAUUACAAGCUAAUUAAAUUUUUUUAGAAGUGAAAUUUAACCGGUUCUAAAUAUAUUUAAAAAAAAAAAAGAUUCGUCUUUUAAUAAAAGAAAAAAAUUAUAAAAAGAAAACAAAAAGUAAUAGAGACUAGCUGGAGUGCGUGUGAAAAUGAGCCAGUCUUUGUUUAGGCAAAGUAAGUCAUCAUCAUUUGGAAGUUUGCAAUAGACUGCAAAAUGAGCCAGUCUUUGUUUAAUGAAAUAUUUAAUAUCAUAAAAUUUGCUUAGAUGAAAAAAUUAGAGGGGAUAUUAUUGAUUUGCUAAAUUAAUUUAAUGACAUAAUUUCGGUAAAAUUCAAAGUUCAAACUCAGUCAUUUAUAAUUAUUUGUCCGCUACAGCACCUCAUUUAUAAUUUAAUGACAUGCUGAUUCGAAUCGGACAAGCUGAAAUUUUUCAAAAAACUUUAUUUAUUUAAACCCUUAACCUACUGGUCUUGAAUCCGAUAGGACCCAAUUCUUUUACAAAGAUUUAAUUGUGUUACGAAGUUCAUCCACAAAAAAAAAAAAAAAAAAAAAAAAUCAUAAAUCCUUGACCAAACUUGGACAUUCAAUGAACUGCAAAAAAAAAAAUGAUCAACAACACUGAACACAUAGCAUCAUCUCCCAAUCGAUUCAAAUGGAUAGAAAACAAAUUAACGAGAAAGAAAGUAUCAAAUCCAAGGACAAUUUUUUGUAUGUUCACAUAUUGUAUAAGAGCGUUUGAUAUUAAUGUCUUGUAAAUUUUAAAUUAUAGCUACUAUAGAAAAAGAGCAGUAUUUAUGAAAUAAACAUUAAUAGUAACUAAAUAUGGCUUUUAAUAAUAAUUUUGACAAAAAUUAAUAAAAACCUUACAGGUUUUUCAUCUUACAAGUGAUAAAUCAAAACAACUUAACUUUCAAGUUAUAACAAUUAAUAUUUAUUAAAUAUUUUAGUGCUGCCCAACCUCGAUAAUAAAUAGGGCCUUAGUGAGUGAUCGUCCAAUAAUAUAAGAACAUUGAAGCUUAAUAUUUCAGGCGCAUUAGUUCUUAAGAAAUAUAUAAAAUCUAUAUAAGAUUUUUAAGAUUAAUGGAUCGAAAAUAUAUUUACUCCACGAUUUAAUGAUGAUCGCAAGUAUUGGUGUAAGAAAUACAUAUAUAGUCUAUCAUGGCUCCGAAUAAACUUCCUGAAUAAUUUUAUUUUGUGAUAAUUUGAUUUUUUAAAUUAUAAAACAGCUUAUUUUUUUUUAUUUUGUUUAUUAAAAUUUUGAUGCAGCCCUCUCAUAAUGCUCGAGCUCACACAAGCUAGAAAAAUGAUUUCGCAUAAUGUAGUGUAUUUUUAAUUAUUUAAUUUUAAAGUUUUUUUCUUUUUUAAAAUUUUAAAAAGCUCAUUUAUUAAAUAUUACCGUCUAAAAAAUUAACCGCAACCGCGCAACCUUAUCAUGAUACUUCUUAUUAAUUACUUACUACAAAAGCAACGCAAGUAUGGCAACUGUAUUUGUUAUGAUUAUUUCAUAACAAUAAUCUGAUAUGGCCUUAGCUCUUCACUUUAUCACCGUGCGCGCAAUUCAAUUAUUUUUCGCUCAAGCUCAAGUGAGGUUAAAAAAUGAUUUUGAAUAUCUUUUAACAUUUUACCACAACCUUAUCAUAAUAUUUUUGAAUUAACUACAUACUUUAAAAAGGAGCAAAUAUAGGGUAACUAUGUUGUUAUAAUUACUUUUAGAAACAGUCACGCAGUCAAGCUCGAGUGAGCUUGAAAAUGAUUUGGAAUAACUUUUGAAAUAGUUCAAAAGAGUAAUUUUAUUACCGUUAUUAUUUGAUUGUAGUUAAUUAUCAAAAGAGUGCUUUAAAUAACAUUCAAAAUAUAAUUUUUAUCUCAACCAUCUCAUAAUCCUUUCAUUACCAUUUCUGUUUUAAACCACACGGACUAAAGCUCAAAUGAGUAUGAGCUUGAAAAAAAAGGUUUUCAGAAUAAUAAAAAAUAAAAGAAUUAAAAGAAUUAGUUAUUACCACCAAUUUUUUAGAUGUUAAAUUAAAAUAAACAUCAUGGUAAUUGGAAAAGCAGUUAUGAACUAAAUAAAAAUUUUGUAUCAAAUAUAGGCAAAUUUAUUUUACAUAAAAGUUAAAAGUAUGUGGUAAACAUACAUACAUUCAUAUAUAUAUAUAGAUAUAUAGACACACACACACACACACAUAUAUAUAUAUUUGGGCCUCUAAAGGGUGAUUUCAAAAUUUUGAACCAAAUUUUUACGCUAAUGUAAGUAGUUAUGAAACUAGAUUAUACAAAAAAGAGAGUCAACUUCAAACCCCAAAAUAAUUUCUAAGGAAUUUUAGGUCUUUUUUCUGAAAAAAAAAAAAAAAAAAACCUGAGAAAAUAUGAGAAACUUUUCGGAAUGAUAUGAAAGUAUUAGAGAAAGAGGGUUUUGGUGGAAGAAAACCAAACUGAUUUUUAAAGAAAACCUUAUUUUUUUUCGAAAUCAUUUUGUACCUAAAAUCGAAAGUUAUACACACUAUUUUGGGUCUCCAAAGGUGAAAUCAAAAUCCCAAGUUGAUUUUUGCCUGAAUGUAAAUAUUUUUGAAAUUAGAGUAUAUGAAAGAAUGUGAGAGCCGCGAAAUAAUUUCUACCCAAUUUUAGAUUUUUUAUAUGAAAAAUUGAAGAAAUCCCAAAAAAUUGGCUAAACUUUCCUUCUAUUAUUUCUUCUUAUGUGGUAUGACCUCAUCUUUUUAAGGAGGUCUUUCUCAUAGGACAGAGAUAAGUUAUGCAAUUAUGACUUAUUCAAGAGUCCUUUUUUUUUUCGUAGAGAAUCCUUGUAUAUUCUAUGAGAAUAGUUGCUUGAGAUGCUGUGAAACUCAUUAGGAAGCACCUUUAUGGUCUAAAGAUGGUUUUGUUGGAAGAAAACUAAUUGGUUUACGAAGAAAAAUAACUUUUCUUCUCAUCCCCAGUUUGGGCCAAAAACCAAGGCAAUAGCAAAUGGUCUUGCGCCUCUAAAGGGUGAUUUUUGAACUUGGAGCGGAUUUUUUUAAUGCAUAUAAAUAUUGUUGAAACUAGGGCAUAGAAAAAAAGAAAAAAAAAAAAAAGGGAGUCGAUAUCAUGCCCCAAAAUAAUUUGCACGGAGUUUUCGGUCUUUUUUCAAAAAUUAAAGAAAAUCUCAAAAAAAAUUAGGAGAACUUGUCAUAAUUAUGUGAAAUUCUUUUAGGUCAUCUCUAAUGCAUAACAUCAUUUUGGUGUAACACCAACACCAAAAAUAUACUUUUUUCACACCAAAUUACUAUUUCAUCUUCAACCCAUUUACACCAUCCACGCGCGACGCAGCAGAUCCAGCAACCCAGCAGCAGUCCAGCACCAAAUAGGCGACGCAACAGCGACCCACACCCACCAGCACCACCAGCGCGAUGUAGCUACAGCCAAUCGAACGAACGCGAUGCGGCAGCAGCGAUCUCAGCUCCAACGCGACCCAAAACCAGCAGCACCAGCAACGCACGCGAACCAACAGCAAACCAUCACCAACUCCAUCCCAAGUAACCUUUGAUUUUUUUAAUUAUUUUAGAAAUUUUGAGAUUACUGAAGCCAUUGUUGAUGUUGUAAUGGAGAGUAGAUUUGUGGAAGAAUCGAGAGAGAGAGUAAAGAAGAAGAAGAAGGAUAUUUCAUUGUUGUCAUAGCAAGUGGAUAACGAAGAAGAAGCAUUGUAUUUCAGUUUCAACCACAAAUUCUUUUAAAAAUUAUUAAAGGGUAUUUAACAUUUACCUAGUUUAUCGUAUUUUAUCUCUUGUAAUUUGCAUAUUUUUAUUUGAUCGACACUUUCUCUAAUUUGUCAUCAAAUUAAGCAAAAUUUUCACUUAUAUAUACAUUAUUAUUUUUCUAUGAGAUUUGGUGGAUAAUUGAUACGUUGUAGGAACAAUCAAUCAAAAAGAAAUAAAAAUAAAAUUUUAUUAAAUUAUUAAAAGUCCAAGCCCUGUCCAGGCUCAGCCUAGGCCUGCGCAAGCCUGGCCCUGGCCCAACCAUCUCAAGUUUGGACAGGCUUUAGAGGGCUUGGGCUUCUUGCCAAUUACACGAGCUUGGACUUGGGCUUGAAAAAGCUUGGUCUAAGCCUGCGAUUUGCCAACCCUACAUAAAAGUAUCUAACAAUGGUAGGAGAUUUUAGAAAGUGACUAAUAUUUUGGACCUAUCAUUUGGGGAGAAGUGUAUAACUCUUGAUCAAACUAGAAAUCUCAUAAUAGAAGAAAUCUUGUACCUCCGAAAAGAAAGGAGAAAUCGUUUUGAUUCGAGGUGAAUCCUGAUCAACUUUGCCUUUACAAGUUGAGUAAAUAUUAAAAUAUUUGAAAAAAGCUUUGUUGUUAUUUAAGAUUAUACCAGUAUAAUGAGCCCGUUCACGUUUUUGGGAGACCUUUUUUUAUGUAGUUGUUUGUAGUUUUCUUUUCUUCAUUAACAUUGGGUUGGCGUGAUAGUGAACCUAUCGAUUGGUAGAGUACAAGACCGAAAAUCAUGCUCUUUGGAGCCCAGAGAUUCCCAUGCUUUCCGUUGGUUAGCAACCAACAAAAAUUUGAGCUUGACGAAGGUGCUGAUAGUUUUCGUAUGGUGGAGAAGUUCUUACAAGUGUGUGUAGUGAUGAAUGAUUACCAUAUGAGUUUUAAAGGUUUCGAGUGAAUAUAUAGAAGAUCACCUGUGAUUGUCCCAUGAUUGAAUGUCUACACAUGUUACCCAUAAAAUCGGUUGGUGAAUUCUUAGUUGUGUGAUUAGGGGUUGCGAAGAUUGUGUGAAUAACAAUUCUGGAUGGGAAAAGAAUAUUUUAAAAAAAGCAAAUGAAAGUUGACUAAUGUCGUUGGAUAUUUUAUGAAUAUAUAUCAAUGAGGGCAUCCCUUUGCAUUGAGUUAUUUGAACACACUUCAAUAGUUUUAUUCUAAACUUGACAGAGACUGUAAAUUGGACGAUUUUGGUGAGCCUAAGUGCCUUAAUUGUUUGGAUUUAGCUUUUGGUAAGGGAGAGGGCUUUUGACUUUUUGUUUGUGUCCUUGCUGAAAUUAUUAAUAAUAUUAGCCUUACCCAAUUCAAACAAUGAGCCAACAAAUGUGCUUUAUAACAGGUAGUAGGGGUGGGCAUUUGGUUCGGUUCAGAGGGCAUUUGGUUCAGUUCAGUCUGAACCGAACCGAACCGAACCGAACCGUAUUAUGGCAAUUUGGUUUGGUUUAGUUUUUUAUUUGAACCGAACCACAUGGUUCAAGAAAAAAUUAAAAUUAAAAUUAAAAAGGUCAUAAUUUAUCUUUUUUUUUUAUUUCUAUUUGUUAGUUAAUACAUGCUAUUAUAUAUGUCAUAGCAUUUGUUAGUUAAUACAUGCUAUUAUAUAUGUCAUAGCAUACACUUUAUUUUAUUGUUGAACUUUAUUAUUUUAAUUUGCUAUUGUUAGAUUUUAUUAUAUUGGUUAUUAUUUAUGGAUUUCUAGAUUAUUUUUUUUGGAAUUUAUUAUGUUAAUUUACUAUUGUUAGAUUUUAUUAUGUUGUUUAUUGUUUGUUAAUUUAUAGAUUCAAGAUUAUUUUUGUAUUAAUAGUGUAUUAUUAUAUUAUAUUUUUUAUUGAAUAAUGAAUAUAUAUGAUACAAUCAAACCAAACCGAACCAAAUUAAAUAGUGCCCACCCCUAACAGGUAGGAUACAAGCAUUGUCGCAAGCACAAGAAAUCAAUUUAUAACUUGAAAAAAUAAAUUGUCAUAAGCUUAUAAAACCGACAAAAUAGCUGAAAAGUAAAUAGUUCUAAUACAAAGCAUAAAAGGUAAUUUUGAUCCCAUCUCACAGAUGGGGCAUAACUUUGGUACAAAAUUGACUAACAUCUAUAAUUCCUCUAAGUAGUUUGGUUGUUGGAGCCCUGAUCACUAUUUGAUGUCUGUUUCUUUUGCUUUCCUUUUCUCCUCCUCCUUUUUGUACUUAAUCCCAUAGGCGUUGCAGAGAGUGUAAAACUAGAAAAAUUUAUAGGAUUAAAAGUACUAUUUCAAGCUUUAAUUUACAUAUGUGGGCAAGUGGUAUUAUAUGAGUUUAAGGACUAUUUGUUCAUGUUACAAGUUUAAAUUUAAUACGACUGUUCAUAAUUAAUCUUUCUUUAGAAAACAUAUAUGUGUGUGUAUACUCACACAUAAUGAACAAUUCUUGUACAUAUACUAUUACAAAUGAUGUGGCAAAUGACGUCACUUUAUUAAUGAGUGUAAAUAUUGGUGAUAAGGAAAAUAAUUACUAUAUUCUAAUUGGACUCCAUAAUAGUGUCACAUUUUAUUUGCCAUAUAGUUGGAAAACAUGAGAAAAUCUUAGAUGCUCCCUCUCUCUCUCUCUCUAUGUAUAUAUAUAGUAGUUCUCUAGUUUGGAAUCUUAAAGUGUGAGAAAAGUUCGAUAAAAUUUUAAAAACUAUGGAGUUUAAGAUGCUUAAAACUUAAAAGACUUAAACCACAUUGUCUAUGCGUUUUUCAGACUUUUUCAGACUUUAAAAAUCUGGAUUCGAAAUUUCUCUCUCUCUCUCUCUCUCUCUCUCUCUAUAUAUAUAUAUAUAUAUAUAUAAUCUCUUAGAUUCUUUCCGCAAGUGUUGGUUUAGAAAUACACAUGGCAAGAAUCUAACGGAUAAAAGUAUGUGUGUAUAGACACUAGCGAAAGCAUCCAAAAUUUUUCCCCAAAAACAAAAUUUGUACCUUCUUUUAUGCAUGUGGAUGCAUCAAAGAAUUACUGUUUUCAAGUCUACAAAUAGUAAUAAUGACAAUAAUAUGCAACAAUUUACAUAUCUUCGGGCCAAGAUGACCUCUACGGCACAUAGGAGUAUCAUUAGUAUUGCAAUUAUAAUUACUGCAUCUUUUAUAAGGAUACCUAUGCGGCCUUGGAAUGCCUGCUGUCCUUCGAGGUGAAGCUGCCGUUGAUGAGUUAGGAGUGCCCAUCUGCUGGUUUCUCGACGCUGGAACGUUGAUGAGUGUGUAACUUUUCAUCGAUGCUUGCGCUGAUGCUGCCGCAGUAGGCUGAAUAUUAUUACUAGGGUUAAUGCUUAAGUUGUUGUAGUGAAGAGGAGAGUUAGGAAGUUGUGAUCCCAUUACAGAAAGAGCCUGCAGGAAAUGUGCUAAAGCCAUAGCCAUUAUUUGGGUGCAUAUAUUGUGCUUGUCUAUGUUGGUUCCUCAAGUUUGAUUGUGGCCACACAAUUUAGUUGGGAUUAAACUUUUGUCCAAUGUUAGUGUUAUUGUUCAUUCCUUCAUUCACCAUUUCAUAGUUGGUUAUUCCCUGUAUAUAAACAAUCAAAAUGUUAGAGAAACUAUUGACUCAUUAAAUAAUAAUAUAUAUGAGAAAAAUUUUCAAUCUGAAAUUAAAGUUGGGAUUAAAGUUCAGGACAGAUUUACGACACCAUAAAUUCAUCGUAGAUCUUAAUUGUAAAUUUUAAUCUUAGAUCUAAUAAGCACUGUAUAUAUAUAUAUAUUGGUUUUUUGAUAUGGAAUUUUAAAGUGCCCGAAAACUUUAAAUUCAUAGGGGCUUAAAAUUUAAAGCGUUUAAGUUGCAUAGUUAUGUAUUUUAUCGGACUUUCUUACAUUUUAAAAUUUAGAAUUGGAACAUUUCCUACAUUUAUAAUUUUUAAGCUAUAAAUGACAAACAAUAUUAACCUGCUCUCGUUUAUAAUUUCUCUGUUAUAACUAGCUCGCAUUGUACCAAAAUUUUUGUUUCUCCGUGUUUAUGUUAUUAAUAGAACCAUUAUUAGCUAAUAGGUUCAAGUCUCCGUAAUUACAAAUUAUUCCCAAUAACUAUUAUUGGAUUCCAGUUGUUGUAAUUUAAAAUCAUGAUUUAAAACAAGGCAUAUAUAUAUAUAUAUAUAUAUUAACCUCAUUUAUGUGACUUAGUAUCACAAUUCAUAAGUGAUAUGAUUAAAGUUAGAAAAAAAAUUGCAGGAUAUAAUGUUAUUAACUCAUAGCUCUUCAAACAAGUGUUGAUACUUAGUAUUUUAUAUAUAUAUAUAUAUAUAUAUAUAUAUAUAUAUAUAUAUAUAUAUAUAUAUAUAUAUAUAUAUAUAUAUAUAGUCUAAAUAAGGAAUGAAGGUAGAAGUGGGAAUAUGAAAUUGAUAAAGGUAAGAGAGACCAAAUUCUGGACAGUCUACAAAUCUUGGGGUAUAAAGUUGCAGGGCGAAACUAUCGAAGUUUUAAAGUAAAAGUGGCCAGGUCCUUGUAAGAGAUUACAAAUUUGGCCUGCUAGUAAUAAUUUUUAAGCUAUAAGUUACAAACAAAAUUAUCCUAAACUCUGUAGUAGCUCCGCCCUUGGUCGAAAAUAUUGUUUAAGCAUUUAUUUUUAAUCCGCCUCAAUCAUUUGACAAACGUCAAUGCAACCCUAACCCCAAGUUUUUGUUAAUAGUAAGUAGCAACAGACUGAAAUUAUAUUAAGAUGAAAAUGAUGACCAAAAAAAUUUUUUUGAAGAAAAAAAUAAUUGCUUAAGAAGUCAUUAAUAACUGGAUGGAUAUGGAGCAGUCAAUCUAAUCUGUUAACACCAAUUAUGCAGCCAAAAAAUGAUAAUAAAAAAGGAGAAAAAUUCAAGAAAGAUGACAAUUCUAUACAUACCAUCAGUCCAUGUAUAUCCAAGAUUUUACAAGAAGAUUACCAAAAUAAUGGAUCUAAACAGAUUUGAUAAUUACUACUUCGUAAAAAUUAAAUAAAUAAAGAGAUCAUUCUAAUUAGAUGGUGCAACCUAAGAGAUAUAAAUUAUCAAGUAUAUGAAGUGGAGCUUCUUUUCUGCAUAUUGAUUGAUCAAACAUUAAUUAAUCUUCAUUUCUUAACAAAAUUGCAAAAGAAAAAUAUUAUUUCUCUAUUAGUUUUUUGAUUGAUUUAAUCAAGAAAUCAUAAUUUUAAAAAAAUGAAGACUAAUAUUAAAUUGUAUAUCAUUCCUGAAGAUUAUGUUCAGAUUUUCAUUUUCAAAUUCAAUUUAAUAAUAGAUCACAUUAUUUAGGCACAUAAGUAAGGAAUGUCUAACACAAAGAAUUACCUCAUGAGAAUUAAGAUGCUGACUGUCAUUAUCACUAUUAGGUAUACACACGAAAACACACUCUUUUAGUGAUUUUAAAAAAAAAAAGAAAUUAUGCACCGGACUAAAUCGAAACGAAUAAAAGUUAUAUCUAGUUGUGAUUAUUAGUUUAUUAAGUACUAAUUUAUAGAGGAUCUAUUAUAUUUACCAUUUUAUUUAAAAUUGUUUCUUUUAUUUUAAACUCAAAAACUACAAAAAUUAAAAGAGAUUACUGCAUUCGCCAAAGAACGGCUAUGAGCAUUUUUCUCGCUCUCUUAUACGUGACGCUAUCCUAAUUACACUCAUCUCAAAUCUUUUUUGUUAGUUACCUUUGAAAAAUAAUUUGAUUUUUUCAUAAAUAUAUAUUUUUUAAAAUGCAUUUAUAAAAAUUGAAGGAAAAUAUCACCACCCAUAAAUAAAUGGCAAGCAUUAAUUAAUUUAAAAAAUGGGUUUAAUUAGUUUUCUCUUUCAAACAUUAAUUUAUAUCUUUAGUCGUAGUUUUUCUCCUCUCUUCUCUACCUUAUCACCAUCCAUAAUCGGAAAGCUUCGAACUUAAAAAAAAAAAAAAAUGCAUUGUGCUAUGAAAAUGUUGAUUUGUCCAUGUAUAAUUGGAUUUGUAAAAUAGUCCUAUGAGUGAGUUAAGAUCGAGAAGAACAAAAAAAUUAUAACAAUUGAAAGAAGAGCAUACGAGUCUUACAAUAUGAAAGAAUUCUCGCCUCAAUUCAAACAAUUAAAUUCAGGAGAAACCACAACCGAUUGUGAGCUCCCCAUUUAUCAUUUACUAAUUGCUAUUAUGAUUCUUUUUUGUCAAAUUCAUCUUCAUGUUUGACAACACCCAUAUCUUCCAUUUGGCAAGUUAGUUCAUCCUAUUUACCAUUGAUCGUGUAAAAUCUCAAGUAAUGUUACACCCGCAUAUUCUGUAAAUCGUUAUAAUGAUUUGAAUUAGUUAGUUUUUUAUUUUUUUAUAAACAUUAUUUUUGCCUUAUUUAAGUUAUUUGGUUAUUUUCAAAUCUUCAAAUUUGAAUUGAUUUGAAAAAGAUUAGAAACUAUCCCUUUUUUAUUUUCCUCAACUACUCAUGUUUUGGUAAAUCAAAACUCACUUUUUUUUUAAACAAUAAUUAAUGAGGGUCACAUUAUUUGGGACUCAAAUGAUAAGGUCCCUAACAUUACACUUUUCCAAAAUUCAACACAUAUUACUCUCUUUUUUCUCAAUCAAAACUAAGAAAUUUAGUAUUUUCUUGCACUCGAUGGUGACGGCGGCAGAGGGGGAUGCACGAACAACUCUAUAGGUUGUGACAGACUGACAGUGGCAGUAGAGAUGGAGCAAUCGAACCGAGCAAAGCUGCGUGCCAAGGCUAGCGAGUCAGCAACCGAGACGAGAUGAUGCCGGCGGAGGGUGGUGGCUGCUGCUGGCUUCGAGUGUUGGAGGCGCGGCAGCCGCAGCGUUGUUGCUUAUGCUUUUCAAGGGAUUUGGCGAUUAGGGAUUUCAAGGCAGCCGGUGGCGGUGGCACCGUGGCAGCGCGGCUGCUUAUGCUUUUCAGAAGGGAAUGCAAUCUGCUACUUAUGCUUACUGUAUUGGGGAUUUGGAUUUGGGCGAUUUGGGCAAUUGGGUUUUGAUUUUUGUAUUUAAAUUUUUUUUUAAUAUACCGGGUCCGGAUUCUGGGUUUUUGGGGCUGAGACCGGAACCGGGACUGGAAAUGUCCGGGUUUGAGAAUUUCGCACCGUAUAUUUUUCUUAUAAAACUCCAUUUCGGAUAAAUUUACAUUUAAAGACAAAAUAACAAUAACACACAUUUAAUUUUUUUUGAACAAAUUACUUACAUUCAUUAUUAAAUUUUUUUUUUUUACCUCUCACUUCAAUUUAUCAA
rnacentral:lncRNA from 1 species